AACCCCUGUGAACAUACCUAUACGUUGCCUCGGCGGAUCAGCCCGCGCCCCGUAAAACGGGACGGCCCGCCCGAGGACCCCUAAACUCUGUUUUUAGUGGAACUUCUGAGUAAAACAAACAAAUAAAUCAAAACUUUCAACAACGGAUCUCUUGGUUCUGGCAUCGAUGAAGAACGCAGCAAAAUGCGAUAAGUAAUGUGAAUUGCAGAAUUCAGUGAAUCAUCGAAUCUUUGAACGCACAUUGCGCCCGCCAGUAUUCUGGCGGGCAUGCCUGUUCGAGCGUCAUUUCAACCCUCAAGCUCAGCUUGGUGUUGGGACUCGCGGUAACCCGCGUUCCCCAAAUCGAUUGGCGGUCACGUCGAGCUUCCAUAGCGUAGUAAUCAUACACCUCGUUACUGGUAAUCGUCGCGGCCACGCCGUUAAACCCCAACUUCUGAAUGUUGACCUCGGAUCAGGUAGGAAUACCCGCUGAACUUAAGCAUAUC
rnacentral:rRNA from 1 species